rnacentral:rRNA from 1 species
CCUACGGGGUGCAGCAGUGAGGAAUAUUGCACAAUGGGGGAAAGCCUGAAGCAGCGACGCCGCGUGAGUGAAGAAGGAAUUCUUUAUCGAAAGCUCUAUCAGCAGGGAAGAAAAUGACGGUACCUGAGUAGGAAGCCCGGGCGAACUACGUGCCAGCACCCGCGGUAAUACGUAGGGAGCAAGCGUUAUCCGGAUUUACUGGGUGUAAAGGGAGCGUAGACGGCAGUGCAAGUCUGCAGGGAAAGGCGGGGGCUCAACCCCCGGACUGCUCUGGAAACUGUACGGCUGGAGUGCAGGAGAGGUAAGUGGAAUUCGUAGUGUAGCGGUGAAAUGCGUAGAUAUUAGGAGGAACACCAGUGGCGAAGGCGGCUUACUGGACUGUAACUGACGUUGAGGCUCGAAAGCGUGGGGAGCAAACAGGAUUAGAUACCCUAGUAGUC